AUCACUUCUUGGCCUUUUGGUUAAGAUCAAGUGUAGGAUAUGUGCACUUGCCUGGAAUGUUACAUAUUUAUUAUAUAUUUUUAAAACCCACACACCUGGACCUCCUUCUCACCGGCCCUGCUUCAGAAUGUCUAGGAUAGUACACCAGAAAUUGACAUAUUGUAACUGACUAUACUUCAAUUU
ensembl:snRNA U2 U2 spliceosomal RNA